CACUGCUAUCGGGGUUCGAUUAAGCCAUGCGAGUCGAGAGGGUUCGGCCCUCGGCGUAUUACUCAGUAACACGUGGAUAACCUGCCCUAAGGAAGGGGAUAACCUCGGGAAACUGAGGAUAAUACCCUAUAGGUUACAGACGCUGGAAUGCCCUGUAACCGAAAGUUCCGGCGCCUUAGGAUGGAUCUGCGGCCGAUUAGGUUGUUGUUGGGGUAACGGCCCAACAAGCCGAUAAUCGGUACGGGUUGUGGGAGCAAGAGCCCGGAGUUGGAUUCUGAGACACGAAUCCAGGCCCUACGGGGCGCAGCAGGCGCGAAAACUUUACAAUGCGGGAAACCGUGAUAAGGGAACCUCGAGUGCCUGUAUAUGCAGGCUGUCCAGGUGUCUAAAAAACACCUGAAGAAAGGGCCGGGCAAGACCGGUGCCAGCCGCCGCGGUAAUACCGGCGGCUCGAGUGGUGGCCACUUUUAUUGGGCUUAAAGCGUUCGUAGCUGGGUUGUUAAGUCUCUUGGGAAAUCUGGCGGCUUAACCGUCAGGCGUCCAAGGGAUACUGGCAAUCUUGGAACCGGGAGAGGUGAGGGGUACUUCGGGGGUAGGAGUGAAAUCCUGUAAUCCUCGAGGGACCACCUGUGGCGAAGGCGCCUCACCAGAACGGCUUCGACAGUGAGGGACGAAAGCUGGGGGAGCAAACCGGAUUAGAUACCCGGGUAGUCCCAGCCCUAAACGAUGCGCGUUAGGUGUAUCGGUGACCACGAGUCACCGAGGUGCCGAAGGGAAACCGUGAAACGUGCCGCCUGGGAAGUACGGUCGCAAGGCUGAAACUUAAAGGAAUUGGCGGGGGAGCACCACAACGGGUGGAGCCUGCGGUUUAAUUGGACUCAACGCCGGGAAGCUUACCGGAUAAGACAGCGGAAUGAUUGCCGGGCUGAAGACCCUGCAUGACCAGCUGAGAGGAGGUGCAUGGCCGUCGUCAGUUCGUACUGUGAAGCAUCCUGUUAAGUCAGGCAACGAGCGAGACCCACGCCAACAGUUGCCAGCAUGGUCUCCGGACUGAUGGGGACACUGUUGGGACCGCCUCUGCUAAAGAGGAGGAAGGAAUGGGCAACGGUAGGUCAGCAUGCCCCGAAUUAUCCGGGCUACACGCGGGCUACAAUGGGCAGGACAAUGGGUAUCGACACCGAAAGGUGAAGGCAAUCUCUUAAACCUGUCCUUAGUUCGGAUUGUGGGCUGCAACUCGCCCACAUGAAGCUGGAAUCUGUAGUAAUCGCGUUUCAAAAUAACGCGGUGAAUGUGUCCCUGCUCCUUGCACACACCGCCCGUCAAACCACCCGAGUGGGGUUUGGAUGAGGCCGCGGUCGUUGCCGCGGUCGAAUCUAGGUUCCGCAAGGGGGGUU
rnacentral:rRNA from 1 species